rnacentral:rRNA from 1 species
ACUCCUACGGGAGGCAGCAGUGGGGAAUAUUGCACAAUGGGGGAAAGCCCAUCGAUGCAGCCAUGCCGCGUGUGUGAAGAAGGCCAAUUCGGGGCUUUGGUUAAAGACACUUUCAGUAGGGAGGAAGGUAGUGUAGUUAACACCUGCACUAUUUGACGUUACCUACAGAAGAAGCACCGGCUAACUCCGUGCCAGCAGCCGCGGUAAUACGGAGGGUGCGAGCGUUAAUCGGAAUUACUGGGCGUAAAGCGCAUGCAGGCGGCCUGUUAAGUCAGAUGUGAAAGCCC